rnacentral:rRNA from 1 species
GCGAUACAGGGUGACAGCCCCGUACACAAAAAUGCACAUGCUGUGAGCUCGAUGAGUAGGGCGGGACACGUGGUAUCCUGUCUGAAUAUGGGGGGACCAUCCUCCAAGGCUAAAUACUCCUGACUGACCGAUAGUGAACCAGUACCGUGAGGGAAAGGCGAAAAGAACCCCGGCGAGGGGAGUGAAAAAGAACCUGAAACCGUGUACGUACAAGCAGUGGGAGCACGCUUAGGCGUGUGACUGCGUACCUUUUGUAUAAUGGGUCAGCGACUUAUAUUCUGUAGCAAGGUUAACCGAAUAGGGGAGCCGAAGGGAAACCGAGUCUUAACUGGGCGUUAAGUUGCAGGGUAUAGACCCGAAACCCGGUGAUCUAGCCAUGGGCAGGUUGAAGGUUGGGUAACACUAACUGGAGGACCGAACCGACUAAUGUUGAAAAAUUAGCGGAUGACUUGUGGCUGGGGGUGAAAGGCCAAUCAAACCGGGAGAUAGCUGGUUCUCCCCGAAAGCUAUUUAGGUAGCGCCUCGUGAAUUCAUCUCCGGGGGUAGAGCACUGUUUCGGCAAGGGGGUCAUCCCGACUUACCAACCCGAUGCAAACUGCGAAUACCGGAGAAUGUUAUCACGGGAGACACACGGCGGGUGCUAACGUCCGUCGUGAAGAGGGAAACAACCCAGACCGCCAGCUAAGGUCCCAAAGUCAUGGUUAAGUGGGAAACGAUGUGGGAAGGCCCAGACAGCCAGGAUGUUGGCUUAGAAGCAGCCAUCAUUUAAAGAAAGCGUAAUAGCUCACUGGUCGAGUCGGCCUGCGCGGAAGAUGUAACGGGGCUAAACCAUGCACCGAAGCUGCGGCAGCGACGCUUAUGCGUUGUUGGGUAGGGGAGCGUUCUGUAAGCCUGCGAAGGUGUGCUGUGAGGCAUGCUGGAGGUAUCAGAAGUGCGAAUGCUGACAUAAGUAACGAUAAAGCGGGUGAAAAGCCCGCUCGCCGGAAGACCAAGGGUUCCUGUCCAACGUUAAUCGGGGCAGGGUGAGUCGACCCCUAAGGCGAGGCCGAAAGGCGUAGUCGAUGGGAAACAGGUUAAUAUUCCUGUACUUGGUGUUACUGCGAAGGGGGGACGGAGAAGGCUAUGUUGGCCGGGCGACGGUUGUCCCGGUUUAAGCGUGUAGGCUGGUUUUCCAGGCAAAUCCGGAAAAUCAAGGCUGAGGCGUGAUGACGAGGCACUACGGUGCUGAAGCAACAAAUGCCCUGCUUCCAGGAAAAGCCUCUAAGCAUCAGGUAACAUCAAAUCGUACCCCAAACCGACACAGGUGGUCAGGUAGAGAAUACCAAGGCGCUUGAGAGAACUCGGGUGAAGGAACUAGGCAAAAUGGUGCCGUAACUUCGGGAGAAGGCACGCUGAUAUGUAGGUGAAGCGACUUGCUCGUGGAGCUGAAAUCAGUCGAAGAUACCAGCUGGCUGCAACUGUUUAUUAAAAACACAGCACUGUGCAAACACGAAAGUGGACGUAUACGGUGUGACGCCUGCCCGGUGCCGGAAGGUUAAUUGAUGGGGUUAGCGCAAGCGAAGCUCUUGAUCGAAGCCCCGGUAAACGGCGGCCGUAACUAUAACGGUCCUAAGGUAGCGAAAUUCCUUGUCGGGUAAGUUCCGACCUGCACGAAUGGCGUAAUGAUGGCCAGGCUGUCUCCACCCGAGACUCAGUGAAAUUGAACUCGCUGUGAAGAUGCAGUGUACCCGCGGCAAGACGGAAAGACCCCGUGAACCUUUACUAUAGCUUGACACUGAACAUUGAGCCUUGAUGUGUAGGAUAGGUGGGAGGCUUUGAAGUGUGGACGCCAGUCUGCAUGGAGCCGACCUUGAAAUACCACCCUUUAAUGUUUGAUGUUCUAACGUGGACCCGUAAUCCGGGUUGCGGACAGUGUCUGGUGGGUAGUUUGACUGGGGCGGUCUCCUCCUAAAGAGUAACGGAGGAGCACGAAGGUUGGCUAAUCCUGGUCGGACAUCAGGAGGUUAGUGCAAUGGCAUAAGCCAGCUUGACUGCGAGCGUGACGGCGCGAGCAGGUGCGAAAGCAGGUCAUAGUGAUCCGGUGGUUCUGAAUGGAAGGGCCAUCGCUCAACGGAUAAAAGGUACUCCGGGGAUAACAGGCUGAUACCGCCCAAGAGUUCAUAUCGACGGCGGUGUUUGGCACCUCGAUGUCGGCUCAUCACAUCCUGGGGCUGAAGUAGGUCCCAAGGGUAUGGCUGUUCGCCAUUUAAAGUGGUACGCGAGCUGGGUUUAGAACGUCGUGAGACAGUUCGGUCCCUAUCUGCCGUGGGCGCUGGAGAAUUGAGGGGGGCUGCUCCUAGUACGAGAGGACCGGAGUGGACGCAUCACUGGUGUUCGGGUUGUCAUGCCAAUGGCACUGCCCGGUAGCUAAAUGCGGAAGAGAUAAGUGCUGAAAGCAUCUAAGCACGAAACUUGCCCCGAGAUGAGUUCUCCCUGACUCCUUGA